rnacentral:rRNA from 1 species
AGUCGAGCGGACAGAUGGGAGCUUGCUCCCUGAUGUUAGCGGCGGACGGGUGAGUAACACGUGGGUAACCUGCCUGUAAGACUGGGAUAACUCCGGGAAACCGGGGCUAAUACCGGAUGGUUGUUUGAACCGCAUGGUUCAGACAUAAAAGGUGGCUUCGGCUACCACUUACAGAUGGACCCGCGGCGCAUUAGCUAGUUGGUGAGGUAACGGCUCACCAAGGCGACGAUGCGUAGCCGACCUGAGAGGGUGAUCGGCCACACUGGGACUGAGACACGGCCCAGACUCCUACGGGAGGCAGCAGUAGGGAAUCUUCCGCAAUGGACGAAAGUCUGACGGAGCAACGCCGCGUGAGUGAUGAAGGUUUUCGGAUCGUAAAGCUCUGUUGUUAGGGAAGAACAAGUGCCGUUCAAAUAGGGCGGCACCUUGACGGUACCUAACCAGAAAGCCACGGCUAACUACGUGCCAGCAGCCGCGGUAAUACGUAGGUGGCAAGCGUUGUCCGGAAUUAUUGGGCGUAAAGGGCUCGCAGGCGGUUUCUUAAGUCUGAUGUGAAAGCCCCCGGCUCAACCGGGGAGGGUCAUUGGAAACUGGGGAACUUGAGUGCAGAAGAGGAGAGUGGAAUUCCACGUGUAGCGGUGAAAUGCGUAGAGAUGUGGAGGAACACCAGUGGCGAAGGCGACUCUCUGGUCUGUAACUGACGCUGAGGAGCGAAAGCGUGGGGAGCGAACAGGAUUAGAUACCCUGGUAGUCCACGCCGUAAACGAUGAGUGCUAAGUGUUAGGGG